CUUCUCCUCUUAUAACUAGAGCUCGUUUGUUGGGUGCAGCUCGGGGGUCAGCACGGUGCAGCGGUUUAACUUAGGGAGCUUGUGAAGGGCUCCCGCUGCUGUGGUUGGUAGCGUGGAGGUCAGGGUGGAGGUGACGUUUCCUGCGUCCAAGACCUCAUUCGCAGUGACACCCCCCUGCCCCGUGCUGACUCCCGCCCCUCCGCUCCCCAUGCAGUGGGUGCUCAGUUCUUCCCAUUUUGCAGAUGAGGAACUUGGGACACGGGUGAUUAAGCCAACCUGCCUGGGCCGGGUUAGCUCCUGGCACGAGGGCUCAUGUAAGAAGGUGCUCUCAGCUCAGGUUCUGUUGAGUGAGGCACUCAGGCCAGAGGCUUGAGCCUGGCCGGCCACGGCCAGAGUGUCUGUGGCUGAUUCCACUGGGUCCUCGGACGAGGACUCUGGGUCAUGGGUGGGAAGCUUGCUGCGGCGUCUGCAGGGAACAUUCCCCAAAGGGAUCCUUGGAAGAUAAGUUCUUGGAAUUAGUCACAUGUCGGACGACCCCAGGGAGGGCCGUGGGCGCCGUGGACCUGUGGCUGGGCCCUGGGUCGGGCUGUUUGCUGCCUGGGUGUUUGCCUAGGAGGUGUCCUGGUGGGAGCAGCCCCGAGUCUCCCGGGCUGUUCCUCCCUGUCCUUUCGUUUCCUGGUGUCUGAGUCACACGUAGCUUUCAAAUGGCAGGUGUUUGGCUUUUAUUGUCCUGAUUGAUCCAUGUUUCUCUCGCUGAGAUUUUAAACUCUUCAGAGACCCUUUGAAGAUACCUUUUAAUUAAUUGUAAAUAAGAUAAAGUUCACUCUGGUUUACUGAUAGCACAGAAGAUUUUCUCAGGUGCACUUAACGUGCCUCAUACUUACAAGGCUACACCCAUGCGAUGCGUGCUUGAGACGCGUACAGUGAAACACCCUAGGGCUCCUCAAAUGGAAUAACCCCUAAACUCCAGUCCCCCAAGCAGUUUCUUAGGAAGAAAUGACGGGAUCUCCUUCUCAGGAGACUGGGGAAUUAGAGGGAGCUUCUGGGGAUCUGUUCAUCAGCCCCUUCCUUUUAUAAGGAGAGCCCUGAGGCCCCUGGCUGCUGGGGGCAGCCAGGUGUGCAGCCCAGGUGUCUGGACUCCGCGUCCCCCGAUUUCUGACACCCGCCUCUGCUGGCUGAAUGUUUAAAGUGAAAUUUAAUGCCAGAUUUUAACAAAAAUGAUUUCAGCAUCUAAAUCUUCCUCGUGUCUUACAUUCAUUAUUAUAAAGAACUGAUUUUGGUAGAAACGUGGUAAUAGACAGAGACACUACUGCUUAAAAUUAACAGAUGCAAAAUUUUGUGAAUGUCAUUGUGGCUUUUCUUUGGAUGAAACGUUGGGUACGUGACAAAGUAGUGACCUGUGCCCUGGAGGACGUAAGGAGGGGCUGGAGGAGCCCCUCGGACCCUGGUUCCGACUCUACGAGCCCUGCACGUGUCCCCAGGAUGCCUUACGCGGUGUGUGGUUGAAAGGAUAAGGAAAACCUAAUUGCAUCCCCGAUGGUGUUGAGCCCACUGUGAAUUUCAAAGAAUUUCUUGUAAGAUCUUAGGCGCUUUUUAGAGAAGACCUAAGAGCAAGGUAUGCAGGGUAACUUGUGGGUGUGUUUCCCCUUCACUGGAGGCAAAGGAAGGGUUGAUCUGGUGGCUUUUCAUUUGGCUGUUGUGCUCCACGUCUAAUGCUUCCUUUCGAUAUUUAGUAAGAGCCUGAUGUUGAGUUUCAGUGCAAUUGAAAGCAUUUUGGAUGUUAACUAAAAUCUUUGCUGUAGUAGCACCUUUCAUGCAGUAGAAUCUGCACCUUUAAUUCCACAGAAUCCAUCUUUACAUGGAGACCUACAGUUCUCAUCGUUAAAUUGGGUAAAUUAGCAAAUGAUAGACACGUCCAAUGGGAAGCUUGGCAAGAGGUGUUGGAAACACGCCCCCUCCCAUGAUGUUGGCUCUCCGCAUGUGUAUAGGGUGCUCAGGCCGUCCUGCUGUUUUCUAGGCGCUGGUACUUGAAGCUGUGAUGUUCCAGGUCCAGGACGUGAUAGGCAUUGAGAUGACACAUUGGUUUCUCAGAAGGGUGGUCCCGUUGGCCACCACCCACCCCUGCUUUCUCUCGCCUGGGCACGGCUUCCCUUACAGACGAUCCCAUGGCAGGUUUUGUCCAGCUGACCAAGAGGCCUGAGCUGUGCCCUGCCCACACCCACUCAUCCUCUGAUUGCCCCCUUCACUGUAGGCCUGAGUGACACGGGUCCCCAGAGCCCAUCAGGGUAGCCUGCUUCUUGGGUGACCUAGGGGUCCAGUGCCCUGAAGUGUAAUGAAGUUCGUGCCGAUCGACCUACGAUAGGUUGUCCUCGGGGAAGCUUGGCUUUGCCGUGAGUCAGGAACGCACUGGUGUCUGCGGAUUGAACGGUCCUUCCUCUGCGAGACGUGCUCCCUCUGUCCCAGGCCUUGCCCAGGUGGCCUUGGUUUGAAGGUUUGGGACUCCUCAAGCUAGGGCUGGGCCCUGUCCUCCCUCCCAGCGGGUCCCUCGUGGCCCAGGCCUCGCCUGCCCCGUCCAGUCAUGGUGCUGGACACACACGAGGCUCCCACUGGGGCUCUGAUGACCGACUCCACUGCCCACCAGGGACGGUAGGGGAGAGGAGUGCACGGUGGGCUCAGAGGACAUGGGGGGAAAGGCUCACUGAAGAGGCACCCGUGUGGGACAGACCUGAGCUCAGGUGCUCCCUGGCUGUCUUGUGCACUCAGGCUGUGGUGUCCUGACACUGCGAGGCACUGAGAACAGGAAGUACCCUUGGAGAAGGGCCAGGUGGGUGAUGGGGAAGUAGGAGAAACCGAUCUUCCUGCAGUAGCCAGAUUCAGAUGACCUCGUUGUAGGUUACCUGUAAUAGUACAAAGCCGCUGGUACAAAGGUCCCCAUGUUCAUCUGAGGGUGCUCUUUGAGUCCCAUUCCUGUGGAAAACAGACGUGGGACCCCAGGGACAUGUGCUUCUGAGUCCUUGUGUCCUCAGGGGGUCACCACCGCCCUCCCCGUCUACCCAGGCCUCAGGUUCUCUGCCCUUAACAUACUCCACUGACCCAAACCAGAAAACAGAAAAUAUCAAAAUGCAGGGGGAAAUGGCCUGCAUAAUAUUAAAUAAUGCGCCCCUUUUCUCCCCCUAUAUUUACCGUAAGGAUAAUCUCAUUGUAGCACGUGGACACGUUCAUCGUGAAGACAUCAAGCUGAGGUGCUUUUGCAGUUCUCGGCAGAGUGAAACAGGGUCGGUGGUUGAGGUGGCGUCUGUUGACCGUUCUGCGUUCUAGCAGACGGGAAGAGUGUUCCCUAGUGAUCUAAAGGGAAAAGCCGUGAUUUCCAGUGGUUGAGAGGUUCCUAAAGUCCGGUAGUUUGAUUUUUCCAUUUGAUGCAGGUAGAGGAUUGAAGGCAUCUGAUAUCAGAAUAUGAAGGGACAUGAGGACUUGGGGAAGGAAUGUACCCCCAGAAGGAGGUAAAUUUGAUGAAAUGAAGUGAGGCGUCUGGACAGGCUCGAAGAUUAAUGUCCUGCUGGGUAAUACCCUGCACUCUGGGAAAGCACCGAGCUGAAAACUUUUGUCUUUCCUAACACUUCUCAGACGACCUCAGGGCACGGCAGAGGGCCAGGCGGGGCCCCAGGGCGUGUGCUCAGAUGGCAUCACCCGAUGGGGUGGCACGAGGGUGGGGACGGAGACUUCCCCUGGUGGGGCCGGCGAAACAGAGCUGGGAUUGGGCCCUGCUGUGCGGCAGUUUAUCCCUGGUGUUUAAAAUCUGCUUCCACGUUGAUAACAGCUCUGGGAGCUGGCCCUGCAGUUAAUUCCUUCCUAGACAAUUAACUGUCAUGUGUCCAAAAUCCACCCACAGGGCCGCUCUCCAGGGCCGUCUGGGUGUGGUAUUGUCAUUGUGGAGCAAUAGACAGGUUCUCCAAGAAGGAAACCAACACUUGGGGGUGAUCAGCACGUGCCUGGCUCAGACAUAAUCAGUUCUGUGAAUAUUCCGUUCCCACUGUUUUCUAACCUACCUAUUCCAUGUAAGGUUCAGAAACCCAAGUGUCAGAUACCACUGGCAUGAUGUACCCACCAGCCACAAGUAGACGGCCCUGCAGAUAUCCUGUAUCCAAUGUGUAACAGACUGUUACACAUUGAUUAUUGAACUUGUAAGUAGUCCUAUGUUGUAGGUUUCCAGAUUUCCCUCCAGACCGUACUAGUUAACUUUACUCUACCAUCAUAGAAAAGGUAUCUCUGGGAUAACUUUGUGUUAAAGAAAAUCGUUUGGGAAAAGAAUAAAGAGCAUGAAAGUACCAGAGAGCGAAAUUGCAGAUAAGCUCCCCAGAAGCCUGAAGUCCCUUCAAGCUAAUCCCAAGGUGGAUUAGCUGCCGUCGUGCGGUCAGGUCACCCGGACCCCAAGGGUGCUAUGGUCUGCGUAGACGGGACCAGUGCUCUGAGGAGGGCGAGGGCUCCCCAGCCCAUAGGAAAGCCCGGCCCGAAGGGUGGGCUGCUUAUGUCUGGAAGAUGCCCUCCCCAUCACUGCAUUUAUCAGCGCUAGCUGCCCGCCCCCAUCGCUAGCUUGCCAGUGUCUUGCCGCUUCAUUUAUUCUGCAAAAAAGUAAGCUAUUUGCCAAAGCUUCAACACCCUCAUUCUUUUCUAUUUUUAAUAAAAAUGAUUUUCCUCAUGGGUUUAUAUAUUUUCUACUCAGGAAAAAGCAGGCAUAAAUCCGGCAGCUGUCACUUUGCGGAGUCUUUGUUAAAAAAUUCUUUCGGUUCCAGACCGAAGGCCAGCUUGCUCUUAACUUCCGGACACUUCUGAGUCCCCCCGCAGAAGUGCUGGGCUUCCCGUGGAGAGAUGUGCUCCAGUUGUCAAGGUUCAGACGCUGCUGGGCCGUCAGCUGAAAGAGGGUUUGUGGUCAGUGCCGCCUGGGGCAGAGGGUCACUCGGCUGCCGGUGGACCGGUGACCUCAUGGCUCUGUGAGCUUUAAAAACCGCACUCGUUUCUCACCUCGACAUUCUUUGUUCAAAGAACAUGUUUUGUGAAGCCUGAUAUGAAAUGAGAUGAAGUUGGGGUCCUUGGGAAAGUGGGGUGCCCCCCGAAGCCAGCCGCCUGGGCUGAAUUCGGGGCCUGUGGUGUUGGUGGGGAGGGGCUGAAAGGACCUCUGGGCAGCGUUGGAGGGAAGGGUGAACGUGACCGUGGCUGGGUCACCACCUGCUGGAUCUGUGAACCAGGAGGCCACUUUUCUCAUUCAGAGUCAGGGAACCAAGGUCUGGAGGAGAAAGCACGUUUUUCGGGUCCUGUGCACACGCCCUGCGUGUGCUUCCGGCCGUUGUCCUAAGGAUGGACUCUUCACCCCUGGAUGCGGGCGCACAUGCCCUGUUCACCCCUGUGUGGGUGAGGCUCCUACAAUCCCCUGCGGCUGCAGCCUUCCGUCCUGAGCCAAAGGUUCAAACCGAAUAGGACUUAUGUCUCGUCCGCACGCGUCUCAUGGCAGGUGAACUAGGCUUAGCUCACCUUGUUGUGAACAGUUGUGUUUUGCUGUCAGAUGCCCCCCUCCUGAGUUUAUUCAGACCUUUCCUAUGGACCAAGGCUGCUUUUCCUUUUGAUCUGCUAAGCAUGGUAUUAUUCUUAUUUAGACUUUGCUUAAAUUCAGUGUGACGCCUGUUAUGUGAAAGGGUUUACUGGGUACGUGAUGAAACUACAGCAGAAGGUUGUAAGCUACUCUAUGUUUCUGACGAAGCACCACUAAUUAUGUUUUUUUGGUCGUUUAAUGGAUGCAUUUCAUUGGUAAUUAUUCCUGAAAACCACUCCAGGAAGCUGGAAGGUUUGCAGCCUUUGACAUUCCCUGGCUUAACUAAGACACUCCCUGAAUCAGUAUCAACAACACAGAAGAAAAUGAGGAGCUGGAAACAAAGUGCUUGGAAUACUGACCCGUGUUUGUCUCCAGGCAGAUAAAUGAGAAGCUCUGGGGCUUUCACGUCCCAGGGGCUGAGAGCAGAUACGGAACGUGUGAGGUCAGGGCCCUGAGGGUCCUGCCGUGAUUCUGGGAGCCGAGGUCCUGCAGGGAGGGACGCCACUAAAAUCACUGAGCGUUGGUGCUGAUGAUGAAGUUUUCUAACCGCAAAGCUCAUGUCUGCAUCACAGGCUACAUGUUUCCCAAGUGCUGUAUUAAUAUUUUAACAAGUCAAGCAGUUUUAUUGAUGAUUCUGCUCUCCCGUGUCUCAGAAGGAAACCGUAGUCAAUAGAGUCUUAGAAGUUAGUGUUUUGUGCUGAUCGCAUAAUGCGGGUCUGGGUGCCCUUCCCUGGUGGCCCUGCUCAUCCCCGGGCUCGGGCUUCCGCUGCUCCAGGACCAGAGCAGGGCCAGGGCAGCCCCCAGGCCUCCCAGGGGCCACGCUUCCUCUCCCUAACUGUGGGCUGGCUCUUCUGCGGCCGACUGCUAGAAGGAUCUUAUCCCGGGGUAACAGCUGUGUCUUCCAGGGUUUGUCUCUGCUUACGCCCUGCCUUAUUCUCUCAGAAAUCCCAGAGCAGUGCAUUCCCCAGCGAGGCACAUUUGGCAAGACCGACAGCAGGCAGGUUUUGCGAGGGGUAAUUGAGCGUGUUUUGUAAACAGGUCCUGGGUCACUAGUUUAUAUAAACGUGAAGAUUUGGUUGGUUGAGCGUAGAAGAGCAGUAGGAUUCUAAGGGUCAGGAUUUGAAUACAGAAGCAAUUUUCUAGACCUUUCUUUUUGUAAACGGUGUCCUGAAAUCAAUAAACUAGCAAUUCAGAGCAUAGGCAAGUUCAGACCGGUACCAAAAGCCACAUCGCACGCCUUUGUGGUAAAAAUAAGCAGGGCAUUUGGUCCCUACUGGCUUCGCUGGUCACUGCAGAUGACAUUUCAAAGACAAAGACCGUUUACCACAUUUGAAUGUUGCCAAGAUUCCCAAUUUGCAGUCUCAUUAGAAAUGCUUUCUCAUCUCUUCAAGAAAAUUGAAUGGAAAUUUCCAGUUCAUUCAAUGAAAUUGUGCUUAUGUCUCUUCUCCUUGUCUUUGGGAUGGAGGACUAAAUUAGAAACAAUAAUUUUCUCUGAGCUUGAUCUGUUCAUAGGAAAUACAUACGGAAUUUUAAAUAUAUUCAUUUUCUCAAAAUUGGCCUUUCUAAGUGACCGUGUGUGUGAUUUCGUGCAGAAUCUCUCAUAGUGCGAGUCAAGGCUGACCACCCACUGUGCCAGACAGAACUGUGGAUUUGCACCCACUCUCGGUCCCGAGUGAAGGUCUGCAGGGUAGAGACAUGCUCUGUUUGAAGCAGAAUCUCCAAUGAUCCUUAAGGCCACCAAAGUUUGAGAAUCACCGACUUACAUUAGUUCUGUGGAAAGUCUUCUAGAUGUAUGGCAUCUUUUCUUUUUCAAGAAAAAUGAUCUGCCAGUUAACCUGUUUUGCCAUAUCUGUAUAGUUUAUUGUUUAAAAAAAUUCCAAUUUUUAAACUUGGCCACCUGUGGCAUGACUUUAUUUUACGUUGAACGGGGAUGGCCAAACUUGGAAAGAUAUUUCUAUUCCAGUAUUCGAUGAAGUGUUUCUCUGACCUUUUAUUUCUUAAUGAAGCCAUAGUUGUUGCAGCUGAGGCCACAGAGGCCAAGACCCUGAAAAUUAGCGAGGAGUCUGAAUUUUCUCUUCCGUGGCCGUUUGAGGCACUUCCGGGAUAAUUUUUACCAAAAUAUCAAAAAAGAAAAAUACCAAAUGUGAGAUGCUGAGAGUUCAUCAUAUAUACAUUCUGCUGUAUCUACUUUAUUUUAUAAUAAUACUGUGAUUUCCACUUUACAAAUCAUCCUUAAAAGCCUUGAAGAUAUGUGAUGCAUGUUGUAGGGUGGACCACAGGCUCCCACCUUGGAUCCUGGAUGUGGGCUGUUCAGGGUAACCCUGCCUCCUGCUUGUGGGCAAGGAAGUUUCCACAUCAAGCUGUCCUAAACUGUGCAGAGGGCAGCUGGAAGUGCAUGAGAGUCUUGACUACAUUUCAGAAUCGGGGGAGUCAACACAGACACGGUGGUGAUAGUCAUGGUGGAAAUUUGUUUUCGACCCCCGGUUUUCGUUAUAUGUGAUCAGUCACUCAUUAGACGAGAAAGUGACAUCUAAGCUUGUCCGAGGGGCAUAGAACACGUUUUCUGUGUCUUAUUAGGUGUUUGGGGUAUUUACUUUCUGCUAUUGUUUUUCAUAAUUCAUUCUUUUUUCUUUCUUUAUUAUUGACGUGUCUAUUUGGGUGAUGGGCAUAUAGUUAUACACUUUCAGUAGAUUUUAAGUGUUUUAUAAGUUAAAAAUAAAAUACAUAAAACAUAAUUUUUUAAAAAGUAGCUCAGGUCCACUAUAGAAAUUUGAAGAUAAAAGAGCACAUGAGGAAAGUACCAGUUUCCUGUAAUACUGUUGCCUAGGAAUUAAACAGUGAUACAACUUUG